rnacentral:rRNA from 3 species
UCCCGGAUGUUAGCGGCGGACGGGUGAGUAACACGUGGGUAACCUGCCUGUAAGACUGGGAUAACUCCGGGAAACCGGAGCUAAUACCGGAUAGUUCCUUGAACCGCAGGGUUCAAGGAUGAAAGACGGUUUCGGCUGUCACUUACAGAUGGACCCGCGGCGCAUUAGCUAGUUGGUGAGGUAACGGCUCACCAAGGCGACGAUGCGUAGCCGACCUGAGAGGGUGAUCGGCCACACUGGGACUGAGACACGGCCCAGACUCCUACGGGAGGCAGCAGUAGGGAAUCUUCCGCAAUGGACGAAAGUCUGACGGAGCAACGCCGCGUGAGUGAUGAAGGUUUUCGGAUCGUAAAGCUCUGUUGUUAGGGAAGAACAAGUGCAAGAGUAACUGCUUGCACCUUGACGGUACCUAACCAGAAAGCCACGGCUAACUACGUGCCAGCAGCCGCGGUAAUACGUAGGUGGCAAGCGUUGUCCGGAAUUAUUGGGCGUAAAGGGCUCGCAGGCGGUUUCUUAAGUCUGAUGUGAAAGCCCCCGGCUCAACCGGGGAGGGUCAUUGGAAACUGGGAAACUUGAGUGCAGAAGAGGAGAGUGGAAUUCCACGUGUAGCGGUGAAAUGCGUAGAGAUGUGGAGGAACACCAGUGGCGAAGGCGACUCUCUGGUCUGUAACUGACGCUGAGGAGCGAAAGCGUGGGGAGCGAACAGGAUUAGAUACCCUGGUAGUCCACGCCGUAAACGAUGAGUGCUAAGUGUUAGGGGGUUUCCGCCCCUUAGUGCUGCAGCUAACGCAUUAAGCACUCCGCCUGGGGAGUACGGUCGCAAGACUGAAACUCAAAGGAAUUGACGGGG